UUUUCAAGCCUCAUACUUCAAUUUAUAUCCAUAUCCCCUUAUAUUUCCAACCGACAUUUACAAGUGAUUCUUUAAGCUUGGAUAAAUAGACAUGAUUUUAAGAUUUGUGCUUUUUCAUAUAUUACAAGUAUUUUCAUUCUAUUUACAGUACUGAAGAUGACAUUCAGAUAAGGUCUAGGAUCUUUACUCACUAUUAAGUAUAUAACAAAUGACUGGCCUUUAUAUAUAAACAUAUAUUGCAAACUUGGAAGUUCAUAAAAUAAAAAGCUUGUGUGAAACCGAUGCUGAAAGGUCAUGAUCAUGUUGUUGCAUAAUAAUGACAAUCAAAAAGCACACAUCUUAAAACAAUUUGGCCUUUCAUUGGCUCUUCCAUACCAAAAACACCGAACAAAUACAAGAACAAAACCUAAUUAAUUAGAAUCUUCCAUCCUCAUUUUGAUUAGACAACAAUAAGACAAGUUGGAUGUAAAAACUGUUAAAGUCUCAACGCCUCCUCAUUCCUC
rnacentral:lncRNA from 1 species